rnacentral:tRNA from 2 species
GGAGCCGUGGUGUAGUUGGCUAGCACGUUGGAUUGUCAAUCCAAAGGUCGCGGGUUCAAGUCCCGUCGGUUCCG